CGGGUGAGUAACACGUGGAUAACCUACCUAUAAGACUGGGAUAACUUCGGGAAACCGGAGCUAAUACCGGAUAAUAUAUUGAACCGCAUGGUUCAAUAGUGAAAGACGGUUUUGCUGUCACUUAUAGAUGGAUCCGCGCUGCAUUAGCUAGUUGGUAAGGUAACGGCUUACAAAGGCAACGAUGCGUAGCCGACCUGAGAGGGUGAUCGGCAACACUGGAACUGAGACACGGUCCAGACUCCUACGGGAGGCAGCAGAC
rnacentral:rRNA from 1 species